UGCAUUGGCCUCCCGGCCAUCGAACCUGGGCCGCCCGCGUGGCUGGCGAGCAUUCUACCACUGAAUCACCGAUGC